rnacentral:rRNA from 1 species
CCUACGGGAUGCAGCAGUCGGGAAUAUUGGACAAUGGGCGCAAGCCUGAUCCAGCCAUGCCGCGUGUGUGAUGAAGGCCCUAGGGUUGUAAAGCACUUUCAGUGGGGAAGAUAAUGACGGUACCCACAGAAGAAGCCCCGGCUAACUUCGUGCCAGCAGCCGCGGUAAUACGAAGGGGGCUAGCGUUGUUCGGAAUUACUGGGCGUAAAGCGCGCGUAGGCGGACUGGUCAGUUGGGGGUGAAAUCCCGGGGCUCAACCCCGGAACUGCCUCCAAUACUGCCAGUCUCGAGGUCGAGAGAGGUGAGUGGAAUUCCGAGUGUAGAGGUGAAAUUCGUAGAUAUUCGGAGGAACACCAGUGGCGAAGGCGGCUCACUGGCUCGAACCUGACGCUGAGGUGCGAAAGCGUGGGGAGCAAACAGGAUUAGAUACCCGAGUAGUC